UUUGGUAAACAUAUAGUCCAUAUCUUAAUUUUAAUUAAUUUUGUUAUGAAGUCUAAUUCCUUUUGCAUUUACAUAUAGGAUCACAACACUUAUAUGAUGCGGGACCUUCUUCGUAUUACCCUAUGGCGACAGCAGAAGGAACGCAAGGUAAAUACCUAAUCCGUAACCCGAAUUUAUGAUGUUCUUCUUAUUUCUAUGAAUAUUUUAAAUAAUUUGAACGGUUUACAGGAUCGCACCACUAGCUUCCUGAUAUGAGUCCUUCUUCGUAUCCACCACCAACAGGUACGUAUGAUGAAUAUGUACCCAAAUAGAUGACUUAUAAGACGAUGAUUAAGAUAUCUUAAUUGCUACUGCAUAGGGGCCACACAAGAUACUUUGGAGGCGAACUUCGAAGACUGGAGUCGGUUAUUUUCUACACCUAAUCAGCAGGCCGAUCCUACCUUCCAGACACCUGUGGCCACCGAACAUCCAGGUAGAGACGUAGGGCUUCCAGACCGACACAUACCCUACAGACCACGUCCACGCACAACGUAAAAGAGGUCGACAUAGCCGGGGUGGUUAGGAGGUGCUUCUAGUUGUUUCUGUAUUUUUGUUAUGAACAUAUCGUCAUGUUAUACUUAUUUCGUUCCUAUGCAUCAUCUAUUUCAUUCUCAUGUGCGUAUGCGUAUAAAUUGCUCAGUUAUACUUUUCAUAUUCAUCUACUUUACUAAUGGUUUUUAUUUCUAUCCAAAAUAUCUAAAACCACAUCUAAUGCCGCACUACCGCACUGACGUUCAAGGUUUAACUUGGGAGGAGGGGCCUGCCGCCCCCCUGCCGGCUGGCUGUCUGGCCUACCGCCCCGCCACCGGGCGGCGGGUACCUGCCACCCGGCUGCCGGGCGGCGGCCUCUCCCUGGGGCCAAAAUACGAUUAAAACAAAUUUUAUUUACAUUCAGGUCCCUACCGCCCGGCAGGAGGACGGUAGGGGGCCGGCCGCCCUACAGCCGGGCGGUAGGGGUACAAAACUGUAAAUUAUGAAACCGAAAAUAUAGUUCUGUAAAAAACGAUUUUGAAAAAUAUAAAAAAUAAAAAAGACGCAUGCUUCAGGCAUACAAAAGGAAUACCAGGCCCGGCCCAGUCACCGAGGGCCCACCGUGUCAUCGGCGCCCACCCGCCGCCUCGCCUCGCCCAAUUCUCGCCGUCCUUCCGUCCGUAUCAAAACCGCCGCCGCUGCUCCUCUCCUCAUUUGGCCGGGUCUCGCAGUUCCCGCCCAACGGUUUCUCCCGCUAGGGUUCCCGGCGAGAGGCAAUGUCGCUGCGACCGAGCGAGCGGGCGGAGCUGCGCCGGAACACCUUCAAGCCGUCGGUGGACCUGGACGCGCAGCGGCGGCGGCGGCGGCGCUCCGCGGUCGACAUCCGCAAGAGCAGCCGGGACAGCGCGCUCCAGAUAUCGCGCCGCCCCGCCGGCGGGGAGGCGGCCCUGCGCGCGCUGGCUUGGCACCCGUCGCCCCCGGUCCCCGAGACGAGGUCGGGGAGGAUCCCGCCGCAGCUGGAAGAAGCGUUGGUCUCGGGUGACAGCAGCGUGCAGAUGGCGGCCGUCAGGGAGUUCAGAAAGCUGCUCUCGACCGAGAACCCCCCGAUCGAGGAGGUGGUCAGCUCUGGACUGGUGCCUGGCUUUAUACAGUUGCUUCAUAAGGAGGACUGCCCUGAGCUCCAGUUUGAGGUAGAGCGGCUUCUCACCACUAUUGCUUUCGGCAUAGUAGAGGAAACUAUUGCUGUGCCCAUCUUUGUGGAGCUUCUCAGUUCACCAAGCGAGGAUGUCCGUGAACAGGUUGUAUUGGCCCUGGGAAUCUUGGCUAGUAACACCAUAAUAUGCCGUGACGUGGUGCUUCCGCAUGGUGCACUCUUCCCAGUGCUUCACCAGCUCUCUGGGCAUGCCAAACUCUCAAUGCUGCAGAAGGCGAGCUGGGCCCUCGCAAACAUCUUCCAUGGCUUGUCGGAGAUCAGCUUAGUGCAUGUGAAGUCGGCACUCCCAAUAUUGCGACAGCUCAUUCACUCUGAAGAUGAUGAGGUCCUAAGUAAUGCCUGCAGGGCACUCUCUUACUUGUCUGAUGGUAGUGUUGACAAUAUCCAAGCUGUGAUUGAAGCUGGAGCAGGCCCUCAGCUUGUUGAGCUCCUUAGCCACUCUUCACAUUCGGUGCUCGUUCCUGUGCUGCGUGUGAUUGGUAACAUGGUCAGUAGGGAUGAUGUUCAGAUUCAGUGUAUCAUUGAUCAUCAAGCACUUCCCUAUCUUUUGAAUUUUAUGACAACAAAUCAAAAUAAAGGCAUAAAACAUGAAGUUUGUCGAAUCAUCUCCAAUAUCAUGGCUGGAAACAAGGAGCAGAUUCAGAGUGUGAUCGACGGGAACAUGGUUGGUCCUUUGGUACAUCUGAUGCAAACUGCUGAGUUUGGUGUCAGGUAUGAAGCUGCUUGUGCAAUUGCUAAUGCAGCAUGCGGUGGGACACAUGGUCAGAUAAAGUAUCUUGUAAGCCAGGGUUGCAUCAAGGCAUUUUGUGAUUUGCUUAGCUAUUCUGACACCAGUAUGUUGAUGGUUUGUUUGGAGGGCCUUGAUAAUAUCUUGAAGGUUGGGGAGGCCGAGAAGUCCCCAUGGGGUUGCAAUGUCAACACAUAUGCGCAGAUGAUUGAAGAUAAUGGAUGGUUGGACAAGAUUGAGAAUCUCCAGAACCAUGACAACAGCUGGAUAGUUGAGAUGGCUGCUUGUUUGCUCGAGACAUACUGGUCAAAGGAAGAUAUAGCCAUGCUCAUGCCCUGGGAGGAUCCUUUGUUAGGGUUAGCAGAAGAUCCCCCAGGGGAUUGCGACUUUGGCUAAAUCCUGAAGAUGGUCAUAUGCUUAUUCGGAAAAUGUGCCCUAGCUAUCUGAAUUGGUUCCUUUCAGUCUCAAUUCAGGCAGUUUAUAACGGUUAGCCAGUGGGCACACAAUGAAAGCAGAGCCAGAAUUAGCUGUUCUGCUAUGUUGCUCUGCAGUUGACGCAAUCUGGCAUAUGGCCCUCUAUAUGAGUAGCUGGAGAGAACUGAAUGGGUAUCUUUUCGCUUGUGUUGUCGAUGUUAAAACUCUUGAACUGUCCUUUAGCCUGUUGCAUGAGCUUUUGUUAUAUUCCCUGUUCUGGAGAGAUGAGGAAGGUUGGUUUUCUUCAUGGCGUCUGCUGUGUUGUAAAAGAUAAUGUUCACUACCUGAAAAUUGAUCAGGAAAAAAAUUCCGGCAAAGAAGUCACAUUCUGAAGCGAAGAACACGGUGCAUCUUUCCAGCGUGAUCCCAAUCAUGGGAGGGGUGAUCCUCCCUGUUUCUGAGAAGAUUCCCAUGCUCCCGUGGUGCUAAUCAUCAUUCGGCAGCGCUCCAAGAGGAGGGAGGAGGUGGUAUUAAGUGUUAUGCUAUGUGCCUUGGCCUGCCCUACUGUGUUUGGUACGGUGCCCAGCCCAUUAUUGACCUGCAUCUCCCAUCUCUUAUCUCCUUUCUCCCCCACCCAAUCAUCACCUGAAUUUAGAAAAUCUCUGAGACCCACCCCGUGCUGGGGGUGAUUGGCAUGCAUAUGGGCAGCUGACAGUUGGGAGCUUUGUACGUUGCGAUGGCUUUGCUUUUGUGCUCUUCAAAGUACAAACGGCUCGGUCAUCACAUCACUGUACAUGCCGAUUACAAGGUGUCAUAUUUUUAUACACCUGAAAGGCAAGGAGCGUGGUGGACCUGCUGUA